CGUUGCGUUAAGUGUUAAAUAUACGUACGUUAUGACAAUGCACAUUUACAGACAAGUGAAAUGUAGCCUCAACAGUAAAAACAAUUCGGUUUAUAAAACGUAGGUCAAGUUUAUUUUCAUACAGAAUAACAACAGCAAGGUCACACCUCUUUAAUUUGUCAUCUGGCUUCAAGGCAUGCAAUAAUUGAGUGAAGGGGGAAUGUUACGAUGCCUUACCUUUCCCUUGCAGUAGUCUUUGACUUGCUGCUCUGUGAUGGUGGUCCCAGACUUGACUCUCAGACUGCAGGCCACUUCCUCUCCUAGUCUCUCACUAGUGACCCCAAUGACCUUCAAAAGUCACGUGACAUCAUUAAUGUGACCUCUGUUUAUCAUGGAUUAUGGAACAGAAGUUUCCAUAGCAUUCUACAGUCCAAUCUUGAUAAUCUGACAGAUAUGGGACCAGCACACUGUCGGAUUACCAAGGAGUCCGGAUUACCAAGAGUGCCAUUUACACAAUGCAUAAAUAACCUAUAAUCAGUAUGAAACAUGAAGGUAAGCAAACACUAUAGUGAAGGAACAAACUUUUUAUUGUACGUACCUAAUUAUAGUAGAAUGAACAAACUGUGCAUACAUAAUACAUAGGUGAAAACUCUUUAAAUACUAUGUUUACAAUUUAAAAAAAUCCAAAACAUUUUUUGCUUCUUCUUACUUAAAGAUCCUGUAAACUUGUACAAUACUGCAGUGACCUGUGCGGCCAGCGUCGACUGCCGAUAGCCUUUUUCAAGCGUGUCGGACUGGCAAAUGCCGGAUUAUCAAGAUUGGACUGUAUUUAGUGCUACUUUGGAAUUCUCAGUGUUAAUUUUUUGUUCUUAAAUUAUUUUAGAAUCUAUAAUGAAAAUCGUGUUACUUAUACAAACAGUACUAUUGUAAUAAAAAAAACUAUUUGCUACCUAC